AGAUUAAGUUAUUAAGGGCGCACGGUGGAUGCCUUGGCACUAGAAGCCGAAGAAGGACGUUACUAACGACGAUAUGCUUUGGGGAGCUGUAAGUAAGCGUUGAUCCAGAGAUUUCCGAAUGGGGAAACCCAACAUGAGUUAUGUCAUGUUAUCGAUAUGUGAAUACAUAGCAUAUCAGAAGGCAGACCCGGAGAACUGAAACAUCUUAGUACCCGGAGGAAGAGAAAGAAAAAUCGAUUCCCUGAGUAGCGGCGAGCGAAACGGGAAGAGCCCAAACCAACAAGCUUGCUUGUUGGGGUUGUAGGACACUCUAUACGGAGUUACAAAAGUAUAUAUUAGACGAAUCAUCUGGAAAGUUGAAUCAAAGAAGGUAAUAAUCCUGUAGUCGAAAAUAUAUACUCUCUUGAGUGGAUCCUGAGUACGACGGAGCACGUGAAAUUCCGUCGGAAUCUGGGAGGACCAUCUCCUAAGGCUAAAUACUCUCUAGUGACCGAUAGUGAACCAGUACCGUGAGGGAAAGGUGAAAAGUACCCCGGAAGGGGAGUGAAAGAGAACUUGAAACCGUGUGCUUACAAGUAGUCAGAGCCCGUUAAUGGGUGAUGGCGUGCCUUUUGUAGAAUGAACCGGCGAGUUACGAUUUGAUGCAAGGUUAAGCAGUGAAUGUGGAGCCGUAGCGAAAGCGAGUCUGAAUAGGGCGUUGAGUAUUUGGUCGUAGACCCGAAACCAGGUGAUCUACCCUUGGUCAGGUUGAAGUUCAGGUAACACUGAAUGGAGGACCGAACCGACUUACGUUGAAAAGUGAGCGGAUGAACUGAGGGUAGCGGAGAAAUUCCAAUCGAACCUGGAGAUAGCUGGUUCUCUCCGAAAUAGCUUUAGGGCUAGCCUCAAGUGAUGAUUAUUGGAGGUAGAGCACUGUUUGGACGAGGGGCCCUUCUCGGGUUACCGAAUUCAGACAAACUCCGAAUGCCAAUCAAUUUAACUUGGGAGUCAGAACAUGGGUGAUAAGGUCCGUGUUCGAAAGGGAAACAGCCCAGACCACCAGCUAAGGUCCCAAAAUAUAUGUUAAGUGGAAAAGGAUGUGGCGUUGCCCAGACAACUAGGAUGUUGGCUUAGAAGCAGCCAUCAUUUAAAGAGUGCGUAAUAGCUCACUAGUCGAGUGACACUGCGCCGAAAAUGUACCGGGGCUAAACAUAUUACCGAAGCUGUGGAUUGUCCGUAGGACAAUGGUAGGAGAGCGUUCUAAGGGCGUUGAAGCAUGAUCGCAAGGACAUGUGGAGCGCUUAGAAGUGAGAAUGCCGGUGUGAGUAGCGAAAGACGGGUGAGAAUCCCGUCCACCGAUUGACUAAGGUUUCCAGAGGAAGGCUCGUCCGCUCUGGGUUAGUCGGGUCCUAAGCUGAGGCCGACAGGCGUAGGCGAUGGAUAACAGGUUGAUAUUCCUGUACCACCUAGUAUCGUUUUAAUCGAUGGGGGGACGCAGUAGGAUAGGCGAAGCGUGCUAUUGGAUUGCACGUCCAAGCAGUAAGACUGAGUGUUAGGCAAAUCCGGCACUCAUAAGGUUAAGCUGUGAUGGGGAGAGGAAAUUGUUUCCUCGAGUCGUUGAUUUCACACUGCCAAGAAAAGCCUCUAGAUAGAUAACAGGUGCCCGUACCGCAAACCGACACAGGUAGUCAAGAUGAGAAUUUUAAGGUGAGCGAGCGAACUCUCGUUAAGGAACUCGGCAAAAUGACCCCGUAACUUCGGGAGAAGGGGUGCUCUUUAGGGUUAACGCCCAGAAGAGCCGCAGUGAAUAGGCCCAAGCGACUGUUUAUCAAAAACACAGGUCUCUGCUAAACCGUAAGGUGAUGUAUAGGGGCUGACGCCUGCCCGGUGCUGGAAGGUUAAGAGGAGUAGUUAGCUUCUGCGAAGCUACGAAUCGAAGCCCCAGUAAACGGCGGCCGUAACUAUAACGGUCCUAAGGUAGCGAAAUUCCUUGUCGGGUAAGUUCCGACCCGCACGAAAGGCGUAACGAUUUGGGCACUGUCUCAACGAGAGACUCGGUGAAAUCAUAGUACCUGUGAAGAUGCAGGUUACCCGCGACAGGACGGAAAGACCCCGUGGAGCUUUACUGUAGCCUGAUAUUGAAAUUCGGCACAGCUUGUACAGGAUAGGUAGGAGCCUUUGAAACGUGAGCGCUAGCUUACGUGGAGGCAUUGGUGGGAUACUACCCUAGCUGUGUUGGCUUUCUAACCCGCACCACUUAUCGUGGUGGGAGACAGUGUCAGGUGGGCAGUUUGACUGGGGCGGUCGCCUCCUAAAAGGUAACGGAGGCGCUCAAAGGUUCCCUCAGAAUGGUUGGAAAUCAUUCAUAGAGUGUAAAGGCAUAAGGGAGCUUGACUGCGAGACUUACAAGUCGAGCAGGGUCGAAAGACGGACUUAGUGAUCCGGUGGUUCCGCAUGGAAGGGCCAUCGCUCAACGGAUAAAAGCUACCCCGGGGAUAACAGGCUUAUCUCCCCCAAGAGUUCACAUCGACGGGGAGGUUUGGCACCUCGAUGUCGGCUCAUCGCAUCCUGGGGCUGUAGUCGGUCCCAAGGGUUGGGCUGUUCGCCCAUUAAAGCGGUACGCGAGCUGGGUUCAGAACGUCGUGAGACAGUUCGGUCCCUAUCCGUCGUGGGCGUAGGAAAUUUGAGAGGAGCUGUCCUUAGUACGAGAGGACCGGGAUGGACAUACCUCUGGUGUACCAGUUGUCGUGCCAACGGCAUAGCUGGGUAGCUAUGUAUGGACGGGAUAAGUGCUGAAAGCAUCUAAGCAUGAAGCCCCCCUCAAGAUGAGAUUUCCCAACUUCGGUUAUAAGAUCCCUCAAAGAUGAUGAGGUUAAUAGGUUCGAGGUGGAAGCGUGGUGACACGUGGAGCUGACGAAUACUAAUCGAUCGAAGACUUAAUCAAUUU
rnacentral:rRNA from 1 species